CCGAGUUUACAACUCCCAAACCCCUGUGAACAUACCACUUGUUGCCUCGGCGGGAUCAGCCCGGCGCCCCGGGAAACGGACCAGGCGCCGCCAGGAGGACCCCUAAACUCACUGAUUUCUAGAUGUAUCUUCUGAGUGAAAAGCCAUAAUAAAUCA
rnacentral:misc_RNA from 1 species